rnacentral:rRNA from 1 species
UACGUAGGGGGCAAGCGUUGUUCGGAUUCACUGGGCGUAAAGGGUGCGUAGGCGGCGCGGUAAGUCGGGUGUGAAAUCUUGGAGCUUAACUCCGAAACUGCAUUCGAUACUGCCGUGCUUGAGGACUGGAGAGGAGACUGGAAUUUACGGUGUAGCGGUGAAAUGCGUAGAUAUCGUAAGGAAGACCAGUGGCGAAGGCGGGUCUCUGGACAGUUCCUGACGCUGAGGCACGAAGGUCAGGGGAGCAAACGGG